GGGGAUUUAGCUCAGUGGUAGAGCGCUUGCCUAGCACGCACAAGGUCCUGGGUUCGGUCCCCAGCUCCG
rnacentral:tRNA from 1 species